GUGAACCCCAGCCUCAACCGUCCCUGAUCAGGAGCAGGCUCGAGGGCGAGGAGCCGUUGAAGGGGCCAUGGACACCAACAAUGUGGGAGUCGCCAGAAGACUGGAGUACAGCUAAUUCAAGAAUGGUAAAGAAGAUAAACCAGGGAAUUACAGGCCAUCAAGUAUUAUAUCAGAAGAAGGGAAAUUGUACGAGAAAUUUCUAAAGAUCUAAAGAAACUCUGUAGAAGACAGAAGAUGAAUAAAGAUGAAAGUAGGAUGGUUUAUAUUCCUUAACCACUGUUCAGACUGUCAUCCAAAAUUUAUGGUGGACACCUAAAGAUGGUUUCAGAAGAGACACCACCUGAGAUAAAACGGAUUUGGAACUUUGAACAUACAAGAAUAGUGAUGAGGAAAUCCAAUGGAUAUCUUGUUACAUUUCUAAAAGGGUUAAGUGUACCAAAAAUACAUUUCAGUGCUGUAUUUAGUGAUUCAUGAGAACUAUCAGUUAUAGCAUCAUAACCGUAAAUGUUUUCCAAUUACUUGUUUGGUUGGGUGUAACAGAGUCUUGGUGAAACCACAUUUUGUGGAAGCUUUUUAUCUUACAUUCUUCUGUGUAAUUAUCACCUCUUUAGUAGAGAAGCCAUUUGUUCAAGUUGUAAGCACGGCACUGUAAUAUGGAUACACCAAUGUCAUUCUGCAGGUUAAUGGUUACCUUGCUUUCACAAACAAAUGAAUGGACAUAAGGUCAUCACUUUUGGCCUAAAACAUGCUCUGUUUACCUUAGACUACUUUGGAAGGGCAAGACACUUCAAACGUUAGCAGUUUCAUGCAACUACAAUGCAGGAGUAACAUGUUUGGUAUUCACCACUAACAGGAUGUUGCCAUCAAGCUAAUAAAGACAUUCUGCCUGUUCCACAAAUGACACCAUGAUACAUGAAUUUAAGUACUAGUGAGAUGCUAGGUAUCAAAUUAAGUCACCAUUGUCUUACCAGACCAUAGGGCGGUUCUCUCAUUAGAUAGAAAAGUACAGCACAGAACAGGCCCUUUGGCCCACGAUGUUGUGCUGAGAUUUAAUCCUAAUGUAAAAUAUAGUAACAACCUAUGCACCCCUCAAUUCACUGCUAUCCAUGUGCAUGUCCAGCAGUCGCUUAAAUGUCUCCAAUAACUCAUAACUCUGCUUCCACCACCACCGCUGGUAAUACAUUCCAUGAAUUCACAACUCUCCGCGUAAAACACCUAUCUCUGACGUUGCCUUUAUACCUUCCUCCUAAUAUCUUCAAACUAUGACUUCUCAUACCAGUCAAUCCUGCCCUGGGGAAAAGUCUCAGGCUAUUGACUCUGUCUAUUCCUCUCACUAUUUUGUACACCUCUAUCAGGUCUCCUCUCUUCCUCCUCCUCUCCAGAGAGAAAAGUCCGAGCCUAUUCAACCUUUCUUCAUAAGGCAAGCCCUCCAGUCCAGGCAGCGUCCUGGUAAACCUUCUUUGCACUCUCUCCAAAGCCUCUGUAUCUUUCCUAUAGUAGGGCGACCAGAACUGGACACAAUAUUCCAAAUGUGGCCUCACCAGGGAUUUGUAGAACUGCAGCAAAACCUUUUAAACUCGAUCCCUCUGUUGAUGAAAGCCAAAACACUAUAUGCUUUCUUAACAACCCUAUCCACUUGGGUGACAGCUUUGAGGGAUCUAUGUACUUGCACACCCAGAUCCCUCUGUUCCUCCACACUGCCAAGAAUCCUGUCUUUAAUCCUAUAUUCAGUAUUCGAGUUUGACCUUCUAAAAUGCAUCACUUUGCAUUUAUCCAAGUUGAACUCCACCUGCCAUUUCUCAGCCCAGCUCUGCAUUCUGUCUGUGUUGCGCUGCAGCCUGCAAUAGUCCUUUAUGCUAUCGACGACACCUCCAACUUUUGUGUCAUCAGCAAAUUUACGAACCUACCCCUUACCCUCCUCAUCCAAGUCAUUUAUAAAAACUACAAAGAACUGAGGCCCAAGUACCACCCUACUCAACACUGUCCUCCAGACAGAAUACUUUCCAUCUACAACCACUUUCUGAAUUCAGAUAGCCAAAUCUCCCUGUAUCCCAUACUUCCUGACUUUAUCAAAUGCCUUGCUGAAAUCCAUAUACCCAUUGGUAUAUUUCCAUUGGUAGGAGAGACUAGGACAAGGACACAACCGUACAGUAAAGGGAAGACCUUUUAGAAUGGAGGUAAGGAGAAAUGUCUUCACCCAGAGUGGUGAAUCUUUGGAAUUCAUUGCCACAGAAGGCUGUGGAGGCCAGAAGAUUGAGUAUAUUUAAAACGGAGAUAGAUUGGUUCUAGAUUGUCAAGGGGAUUACAGGGAGAAAGUGAGAGAAUUGGAUUGGGAAACCUAUCCACCAUGGUCGAAAGGCAGGGCAGACCCGAUGGGCUGAAUGGUCUAAUUUCUGCUCCUAUGUCUUAUGGUUUUUAUGAAAAAGCAC